GAUGAACGCUGGCGGCGUGCCUAAUACAUGCAAGUCGAGCGAACAGAUGAGGAGCUUGCUCCUCUGACGUUAGCGGCGGACGGGUGAAUAACACGUGGAUAACCUACCUAUAAGACUGGGAUAACUUCGGGAAACCGGAGCUAAUACCGGAUAAUAUAUUGAACCGCAUGGUUCAAUAGUGAAAUACGGUUUUGCUGUCACUUAUAGAUGGAUCCGCGCCGCAUUAGCUAGUUGGUAAGGUAACGGCUUACCAAGGCAACGAUGCGUAGCCGACCUGAGAGGGUGAUCGGCCACACUGGAACUGAGACACGGUCCAGACUCCUACGGGAGGCAGCAGUAGGGAAUCUUCCGCAAUGGGCGAAAGCCUGACGGAGCAACGCCGCGUGAGUGAUGAAGGUCUUCGGAUCGUAAAACUCUGUUAUUAGGGAAGAACAAAUGUGUAAGUAACUAUGCACGUCUUGACGGUACCUAAUCAGAAAGCCACGGCUAACUACGUG
rnacentral:rRNA from 1 species